rnacentral:rRNA from 1 species
UGAGGAAUAUUGGGCAAUGCCCGCAAGGGUGACCCAGCAACGCCGCGUGGAGGAUGAAUGUCGUAAGAUUGUAAACUCCUGUUAGAGGGGAAGAAUAGUACCGGUUGGACCGGUAUAUGACUGUACCCUCAGAGAAAGCCCCGGCUAACUACGUGCCAGCAGCCGCGGUAAUACGUAGGGGGCAAGCGUUGUCCGGAUUUACUGGGUGUAAAGGGCGCGCAGGCGGGAUAAAAAGUCAGUGGUGAAAUCCUACAGCUUAACUGUAGAACUGCAUUUGAUACUUUUAUUCUUGAGUUCGGGAGAGAGAGACGGAAUUCCAGGUGUAGUGGUGAAAUACGUAGAUAUCUGGAAGAACACCAGUUGCGAAGGCGGUCUCUUGGUCCGAAACUGACGCUGAGGCGCGAAAGCGUGGGGAGCAAACA